rnacentral:rRNA from 1 species
AUAAAGUGAAUUAAUAGAGGAUGAUUAAAUUUUACAUGAAGUUCAAAUGUAAAGUUAAAAAAUGUUGGCGGUGUUUUAUUAAAUUCUGAGAAUCUUGCAUAGUUAAAAUGAUAUUACACAAAGAAUCUUACCUUAUUUAAAGUUAAAUGAUAUUUUGGUUUAUUUAUUGCUGUUUAAUUUAUUUGUUAAUAUAAAGGUAAGAAUAAAUAGAGUUAUAGUUUAUUAAGUGUAAGAAAUUCAAGUCAUGAUGUAGUAAUAAUAAGGUUUGUGUGAGUUGCAUUUUAUUAGAGAUAAAAGAAAUAUAAGUAAAUUGAAAUAUUUAUAAAAAUUGGGAUUAGGAUGUAAAGGAAAAGUAAUUAGUUUUUUUGAUAAAUUAUAUAAACAUGU